rnacentral:rRNA from 1 species
GAUGAACGCUGGCGGCGUGCCUAAUACAUGCAAGUCGAGCGAACGGACGAGAAGCUUGCUUCUCUGAUGUUAGCGGCGGACGGGUGAGUAACACGUGGAUAACCUACCUAUAAGACUGGGAUAACUUCGGGAAACCGGAGCUAAUACCGGAUAAUAUUUUGAACCGCAUGGUUCAAAAGUGAAAGACGGUCUUGCUGUCACUUAUAGAUGGAUCCGCGCUGCAUUAGCUAGUUGGUAAGGUAACGGCUUACCAAGGCAACGAUGCAUAGCCGACCUGAGAGGGUGAUCGGCCACACUGGAACUGAGACACGGCCCAGACUCCUACGGGAGGCAGCAGUAGGGAAUCUUCCGCAAAGGGCGAAAGCCUGACGGAGCAACGCCGCGUGAGUGAUGAAGGUCUUCGGAUCGUAAAACUCUGUUAUUAGGGAAGAACAUAUGUGUAAGUAACUGUGCACAUCUUGACGGUACCUAAUCAGAAAGCCACGGCUAACUACGUG